rnacentral:misc_RNA from 1 species
UCACCGGCCCGAAGAAACGCUGGCGCAGGCCGACGCCGUGGAUGCCGCACUUGCGAAGGACGAACCUCCCGGGCCGCUUUGCGGCGUUCCGAUUACCGUCAAGGUCAACGUCGAUCAGGCUGGAUUCCGAACGGACUGAAGCUGCAGCGUGACCUUGUGGCGCAGACCAACAGCCCGGUGGUCGAUAACCUCCGCAAGGC